ACACGCAUGACACACUGCAUAUCAAUAAGCGGAGGAAAGAGUCAUACCUACGCUUAGGAUGUUGACGAGACUGUCGAUCUCAUCUACACGCAUGACACACUGCAUAUCAAUAAGCGGAGGAAAAGAAACUAACAAGGAUUCCCUUAGUAACGGCGAGUGAAGCGGGAAGAGCUCAAAUUUGAAAUCUUCAAGGUUCUACCUUGACGAAUUGUAGUUUAUAGAAGUGUUUUCUGUUAGUGGAGUGGCAAAAGUUCUUUGGAAUAGGACAUCAUAGAGGGUGAGAAUCCCGUAUUUGGUCAUUCCUCCUAGCGUUGUGAUACACUUUCAACGAGUCGGAUUGUUUGGGAAUGCAGUCCAAAAUGGGUGGUAAAUUUCAUCUAAAGCUAAAUAUUGGCGAGAGACCGAUAGCGAACAAGUACCGUGAGGGAAAGAUGAAAAGAACUUUGAAAAGAGAGUUAAACAGUACGUGAAAUUGUCAAAAGGGAAGCGUUUGACACCAGUGUUGUUUUUCCGAAAAUCAAUUACGAAUGUUUUAUUUUUGAGGAGUUAUGACUUCAUCGGCUUGCUCCUUUCUUUAUGAAACUUUCUUAAUGCACUUUUCGGUUAACAAGUCAACAUCAAUUUCUUUUGUUGUAAAAGGGUAAGAGGAAGGUGGCUUGCGCUUCGGCUCAAGUGUUUAUAGCCUUUUACCCCUGCAAUCGGAGAGAUUGAGGUCUGCAGCGUAGAUCCUUCGGGGUUAGAUACAUUUGUGCUAAGCUAUAGCCUUGUAUAGACAACUUGUUGACUAUGCUCAGUCAUGUAGCUUACUCGCUUAUGCUAUUUUACCUACGCUUAGGAUGUUGACGAGACUGUCGAUCUC
rnacentral:rRNA from 1 species